rnacentral:rRNA from 1 species
GACGAACGCUGGCGGCGUGCUUAACACAUGCAAGUCGAACGAUGAAGCCGGAGCUUGCUCUGGUGAAUUAGUGGCGAACGGGUGAGUAACACGUGAGUAACCUGCCCUUGACUCUGGGAUAACUGCUAGAAAUGGUAGCUAAUACCGGAUACGACCCUCGGAGGCAUCUCCAGGGGGUGGAAAGAAUUUCGGUCAAGGAUGGACUCGCGGCCUAUCAGCUAGUUGGUGAGGUAACGGCUCACCAAGGCGACGACGGGUAGCCGGCCUGAGAGGGUAACCGGCCACACUGGGACUGAGAGACGGCCCAGACUCCUACGGGAGGCAGCAGUGGGGAAUAUUGCACAAUGGGCGCAAGCCUGAUGCAGCAACGCCGCGUGAGGGAUGACGGCCUUCGGGUUGUAAACCUCUUUUAGUAGGGAAGAAGCGAAAGUGACGGUACCUGCAGAAAAAGCACCGGCUAACUACGUGCCAGCAGCCGCGGUAA